GCAGUGUGGCUCAGUGGUAGAGUUCUCAGCUUCCAAGUGGGAGACCCUGGUUCAAUUCCCAGCCAGUGCA
rnacentral:tRNA from 1 species